rnacentral:pre_miRNA from 9 species
UCUCGAUAGCGUAAAAGUUAACACAAAUUUGUAUUGAGUUGAAACGUUUGCCUACGUUUGCCGCUAGGGGCGCUAUUCCAACUGCAUACAAAUUCGAGUUGACUUUUACGCUAUCGA